AGGAUCUUUGUAUGCUUCUCCAAACAAAAGGUGAAUGUUAGUGCACACAAAACAAUAAGGUAUUAAAAUAAUAGAUUUCCAUAUCUUCAUUGAAAAUCCCAAUUACCUGUAUUUGUCGAUUUCAGUUCAUUGUGUAAAGGAAAGUAAGUUUUUGAAGCUUAGGGGAGACACUUCAAUAAAUGAUCUAUGAACAAGAAAGAAACCCAAUAUUUUGUCUAUAGAGUAUUAUUUAGUGAUUGAUUCCCUGUGGCUUUUUU
rnacentral:misc_RNA from 1 species